UUAAGUAAUCUUUACAUCCAGGGUGGGGCUCGAACUCAUGACCCCGGGAUCAAGAGCCACACGCUCCACUGACUGAGCCCACCAGGUGCCCCCGGACAACUGGGUUUUUGUCACUGCACUGAAGUAGCCACUUGUGGCCGAUGUUUCCCGGGCUAGGACCGACAUUGACCGGGUUAAUAGUGGCAGCCAUGACAGGUGCUAAGUGCCGCCUCGAUUGGUUCCAUUGAUGGGAAGGCGCGUCUGGAGCAGCAGGUGCGAUUGAAGUGAGCUUCUGAUUAAGCUCACCAUCACUUAGUCACUGUCCACAAACUGUCCGUCUGCUGCGGUACGAAAACUGAAGAACUUAGUUCCUCCACUGUGCCGUGAAUCUGUACAUCCUCUUAAUUUUGCUACCUUUUCUUUGAUUGGCUCUUCUGGUAGGAAGUUCACGGCUCUCCCACUUGGCUUUUCGUACAAUAACAGUGACGAUGAGGACACUGAUCGUCACACUUAUCGCAUGCUCACCGCGGGAGAGACCCUGCCCUAAGUAUUUUGUAUCCGACUAACAAAUACAAAGAACCAAAGCCAAAACCCCGUGAAGCAGGUGGGGACGGUGGUGGUGGUUUUCUGACGCACACGACCGAGCCUGCAGUUGGUGCUUAUCUGCCUGUCCUGCGUCUGUGAGAUACAAGAGGUCGUUUUAACAAGGUCUCGGACAGCCCCUGAGGUCUCCAUCUGGGGACUUAGGGGUGUUCAUGGCGCGCCGCUCUCUCUCGAGGACCCCGUAAUUCUUGAAGCGUCCGUGUUCUUCCGAUCGGAACUUCUGGCGAUGGGAGGAUAGAGAGAGAAGCACCGGCCGUCGGGGGGCGCCGGCCGGAGGGACGUCCACAGCCGAUGGUCCCAGCCGUGCAGGACAGGUGCACGACUAUGAGAUAGCACCCCCAAGCCCACGCACUCAUACAAAUUUGAAGCCGUGCCAGAAAAUCAAAGGAAAAAGCAACAAAUCACCCACGCGCCCCGCCGUUCGGAACGAGGCAGCGUGGACACGCGUGAUGUCCAGUUGUUUGCCCCCCGCCCCGGCCCCCUGUGCGGCUCCGGACGACUUCGCGCGCCGGGAGCCCUGGCCGGCGGGGUCCGUCUCCCUGUCUCGCCUCCCCUCGCUGUCUUUCAUCCCUGUCGUUAAUCGUGGCUGCCUGGAGUUUACCGGGGCCGAUGGGAGGGUCGUGCCCAGUCACAGGAGAGGACUCCCCAGACCCGGCCCUGCCCGUGGCUCUGUCCUCGACGCGGGGCUGAGUUCUCACUGCGCGUGUCCCUCAAACGUCCCCUCAAUUUUACCCCGCGCUAUUUGGGAUUUGAAAGAGUUACCGUUUCCGUCCAGGUGGUUGGUCCUCGAAGCGUGGACUUGCCCGCUUUCCCCUUCUACUUGCAAAACAGCCCCUCGUACUCUGAGCUCGUCUUUGUCAAAACCAGCCAGGGGCGCGCUGCCAACGUGUGCUCCCGCCUGGCCCCCUGGCGCCACAAGUUCACGCGGUGCCUCGUGCGUCCCAGAGGGCGUCCUCUGCGCGCCCCCCGCCUCGGCCCGAAGCCCGGGCCACACGGUUCAGUCUGAACGUCUGCCGCCUGCUUCUGAAUCGGUCAGGAUGGGCCGGGUCUUCAGGAACAAGUUUCUUGGUUUCAAAUGGCAAAAGCUUACUCCCCGCUCGGGCUCCGCCGCGCGGCCCGACCCACGGAGGAGGCAUCGCCCUCGGAUAGCGCUCUGCACCCUCUGACCGCGCGGCGGGACCCACGCGCGCCGUGAACAUUUGCUUCCACGUACUUUAUCGUUUUCCUCGUGUUUUGUCCUCUGACACGCGGCUUAUUGUAAAACGUACUUCAGAAUUUCUAAAUAUAUGGGUAUCCCUA